rnacentral:rRNA from 1 species
CCUACGGGUGGCAGCAGUGGGGAAUAUUGGACAAUGGGCGAAAGCCUGAUCCAGCCAUGCCGCGUGUGUGAAGAAGGCCUUCGGGUUGUAAAGCACUUUCAGUGGGGAAGAAAGCCUUGGGGCUAAUACCCUCGAGGAAGGACAUCACCCACAGAAGAAGCACCGGCUAACUCCGUGCCAGCAGCCGCGGUAAUACGGAGGGUGCGAGCGUUAAUCGGAAUUACUGGGCGUAAAGCGCGCGUAGGCGGUCUGAUAAGCCGGUUGUGAAAGCCCCGGGCUCAACCUGGGAACGGCAUCCGGAACUGUCAGGCUAGAGUGCAGGAGAGGAAGGUAGAAUUCCCGGUGUAGCGGUGAAAUGCGUAGAGAUCGGGAGGAAUACCAGUGGCGAAGGCGGUCUUCCGGACUGACACUGACGCUGAGGUGCGAAAGCGUGGGUAGCAAACAGGAUUAGAUACCCCUGUAGUC